GAAUUUCCUGCUGCUUGACAUACUGCACCUGCAGUUGUACCAAGGAUAUCGAGGGUGGAAUAGUUGGAUCAUAGACCACUCUGAGAUAAACAAUCACCUUUUGUUCUUUUGCAUUGACAUUGCAAACUGGUGCCCAAUUUGAGAGAAGCUGUCCCAAAGAUAGUCAAGAAACACAUGGUCCUAAUUGUGCUCAGAUCAGGUUAAUUCAUCACUAUCCACACAUCUGACUCUUGAGAUGAAGCAUCGUUGAAUAAGCAAUGCAUCCUCAAUCAAGACUCCUGAAUCUGUGAAGCCUCCCAUCCAAUUGAGCAAUAAGUCUUAACUACCACCUACUACAACCAAGAUCACCGGUAUGAAAAAGAGCAAGUGUCAAGCUUCCCAAUAAAAACCGAAAGAACUGCGGAUGCUGUAAAUCAGGAACUAGAACAGAAGAAGGGUUCUGAGGAAGGGUCACCGGACCCAAAACAUUAACUAACUCUGUUUUUUCCUUCACAAAUGCUGCCAGACCUGUGGAGCUUUUCCAGCAACUUUGUUUUUGUUCUUGUUUUUAAGUCUCAAUCUUCCCCUGUU